GACUAUUCAAGGUUGAUUUUCUUUGGGGGAUGGUCUGUGACAAUUUGUGAUGGUUGUGCCUUACCACUCAAGCCAGAGUUCUACACUUUGCUCACCUGGGGUCCUUAGAAGCUGUUAUUUUAACCAUCCUUCCUGAGACCAAGGGGACAUUCUCCCUUAGGAGAGCUGGAGUUUGCUAGCACUUUCUCUCCUCUGCCUAUCUAUAAUUUAAGUAUUCUGUUACUGAGUGCCCACCCUCCAGACAUCUUCAAGUAACUAAGUGAAGUAAAAUUCUGAUACUUAAUUUAUUAAGAUACUGCAUGGCUUUCUCUGAGUUACAGAGUGAUGCUAGGAAACUGCUCAACUCUCUAAAAGCUAGGACUAUGUCACAAACAAUUGCUUAAGAAACUCCUAUGAUGGACCAAGCUCCUGUGCCUGUCUGCCGUUGGAAGUUGCCAAAGAAAGAGUGUAAGAUCUGCAUCUAUUUAUAAAACGAAGCAUGGAUGGUGUGGGUAUUGUACUGAGUGGAUUAGAACUUCAAAUGCUGCAAAGAUACAAAAGUGCUUUACUGUAAAAUCCAAGACACAGCUCCCUGAGGAAAGGAACAGUGCUUCAAUGAAUCUCAGCUGUAGGCUUGUGUAUUCUUCUACAGCAAUCAAAACCAAUGAAAAAUAGCCUUCAUUGAUAAUACUCUUAAUGUCUGCAUUUCAGCACUUGGAGAAAACAUCCUAUUCAAGUCUAAACAUCUAGAAAGAUCUGGGAACUUCUGGACAGAAAAGAAAGCCUAUUAAAGAUAUGGUUGUACAUAGAGUUUUAGUCCCCCAUAUUUGUACAGUUUUACUGCUUCAUGUCCUCACCAUAUAUCUUUCUUUUCCAUGUUAUUUUCACUGAGAGACCUUCUGAGAAGGUCUGUGAGAUACCCUCCUUCUAGCAAAAGUGUACAUGAGUACUUGCAUUCGCAAGUACAGAUUCUCAAAGCAAUAGAAAGGAGGUGAGAGGAGUCAGGGUGCCAGAGAGCAUGUGAAGCCAUAGAAAAAAAUAUUACAUAUUUCUAGAAAGUCUAUUUUACUGGAAGAUUUGUCAAAAAAUAUUUUUUAUAAAAGAAAAAACAGAUACAUAUUGAUUACAUAAGCAUUUCCAUAUGAAAAAGGGACUUGAAAAUAAAUUAUGAAUUUGUAAGCGGUCUCCCUCCCUCCUUUCUCAUUCUCAGUUUCUACUCCAUCUUUCCUUCUCAUUCUCCUCUGCCUUUAGGGGUGCUUCAUGAAAGUGACUGAUACAUAUUCCUAAUCUACUUCAGUUCUUUGCAAUGUUUCACAUCUUUCAGUAAAUAAACAAAAGACCUUUUGCCAAAAUGCGACAUAAACUCCCAGAUAUGGAAUAGAAAAUCAAGAGAGGAGCCAAAUCUUUUUUUUUUUUUUAAUUUAGGAAAAGUGAGAGGUAGGUU
ensembl:lncRNA